UGAAUUAUUGUUGCUCUUGUUAACAAAUAGCCCAUUCUAAUAAUUAAUAAAAAUAGUUCUAUUAUACUAGUCCAAACCCAUACUAUUAAUUAAAGUAACCCUAGUACAUUUUUCAAAUAUUUGUUUCAAACCAUCAGAGGCAUCAGCGCCACUUUUCUCUCUCUUUUAGUGGUUCCCAAACUUUUGGUCUUCUACUCUUCUCAUUCUAAUUUUCCUUCCAUACUAAAACAAGACAUAUGAAGAAAAACCAUUGAAGAGAAAUGAACAGCAAAAUAUUAACCAUUGAAUGCACAACAAAGAUUCAAAGAGUGUUCAAAGAUUGAAGUGAGGACAAAACUCAAUAGAAUUAUUUUUUGGUGAGACUUGGAACAAAAAAAUAAUCAGCAACAACUGAACGGGCCUUUUCAGCUAUGAAGAUUAUUAAAACAAGGCUUCGAAACAAGAUGGAAGAUGAAUUUUUAGCAGAUUGUAUGAUUGUAUAUAUUGAAAAGGAAAUAGCUUCAAAAUUCACUUCAGAGAUGAUAAUUGAUGAUUUUAGUUCUAUGAAGCAUCGUCGAGCAAGUUUAAAAAUAUCAAAAUCUUAAAGUAUGUAGUUGAACAUUGACUUUUAUAUAAUAUAAUUACUUUUUUGAUAUAUAUGCUACAAAUCAUAUUUUGUUAAUUUUUUGUUAUAU